UCGUGAUGAAAAAGAAAAGUGUGUGUGUGUGUGAGUGUGCGUGUGCAGAAACCCCGCCGUCCGCCAGUCCCGCGCAGAGCUGACCAGGGCGCGCGGACAGGCAACGAAGGGGGCGGUGGAAAUGAGGCGGGGGGUGUUACGGGGAGCCCCGAAAAACCACCUUCUCCACGAAGCCUACUGCUGCAGGACCCAGGGCAACCGCCAGGGAAGCUACGCCGUCGUAGCAAGUCGACCUGCGUCGCGCACGCCGCCUCGUUGGGUAAAGCCGGAUACAGUGACAAGGCCAUCCACUGGCUGAGCCGUGGCCGCAGAGACAGCGUCCAGUGCCGUCCGGCUUCCCGCGCGGACACCUCCGCCGCACUGCGCCACCGCGGCACGGACCCGGGCCUCGCCCACUCACCUGCCCUACCUGGCGGGGGAGGGUGAGCUCUGCAGCGCUUGACCCUGCACUCCCUCCCCGUGCGCCGCCCCCACCACAAACUGGAGAACUCGCUCGGCUCUCCGCGGAAGUCAGGAGCCAGGCAUUUCCACGGUUACUCGUGAACUUGUUUGAGUUCUGUUUCAGCCAAGAUGCCCUUUGAGUGUCAGGUUAAUUGUUUGCAGGAGAACGGGGAGAGGAAGGAAGCGUCCAGAACAGUUUUGACUCCUGCGGAGUGCCGUACCUGAAGGCUGAAACCCGGGUCUGAACCCCUACCCCUACCCCUACCCCAGCCUGGAGUUCUGCCCCCUCCAAGCCCUGGCGUGGGACUCUCCUCUCCCCACGUCCUCAUCUCCCAGCUCCCGCCCAGCCCUCUCCCCCCACCAGCCCCGUGUCCUCCAGCGAGUCGCUGGGCGGACGUGGUUCCUCGAGUGCAAAAGCGCAGUCACUUCGUAAUAAACCGCCUCCCCGAAUGUUGUCAGGUCAAAUGACAGGCGUAUUAUUGGAAAGCACUGUGUAUACUCUAACCUGCAGGACAAUUGUCAGUUAGCAAUGCUCUUUGGGAUUUUACUGGCACCUUUUUCUUCCAAGUAAGAUUGAUACGUGCCUGUUGGAACAAUUAAAGUGCUCAUCUCAGAUGACACACUUGGCAAGAGCUACAAGUUCACAGGCCAAGUAGAGGGCCAAUUCAGUUACAGAUGUACAAAAGUGUGUCGCCGUACUUACCAGUUAGGAAGUGUUGAGGAAUUGUUACUUUCCUUUGUGUUUAAUGUUUAUGAUGCAGACAGUAGUGGAGCAUUUCAGAAACAAGGAGAAAUGGAAGGAGGCAGGUGCCAAGGAGUCAGCUAGUUGGAACAUUUCAGUGGCAUCCCCUGGAUUUCUCCACCUCGCUACUGUUGACAUUUGGGGUCAGGUAACUCUUUUUUAAGGGAGAUGUUUGGCAGCAUCCCUGGCCUCUACCCUCUAGGUGCAGCACACUCCCUCCUCCAACAUGAAAACCAAAAAUGUCUCCAGACAAAGCCAAAUAUGUUGUCCUACCCCCUCCAACACCGGAGAACCCCUGUUUUAAAGUUGGUCUCUAGUGAUGAUCACUGGGAGCUAUCAAGAAUGCACAGGCCAGGGCUUCCCUGGUGGCGCAGUGGUUAAGAAUCCGCCUGCCAAUGCAGGGGACAUGGGUUCAAGCCCUGAUCUGGGAAGAUCCCACAUGCCGCGGAACAACAAAGCCCGUGCGCCGCAACGAAUGAGCCUGCGCUCUAGAGCCCGCGAGCCACAACUACUGAAGCCCACACGCCUAGAGCCAGUGCUCUGCAACAAGAGAAGCCACCGUAAUGGGAAGCCCAUGCACCACAACGAAGAGCAGAUCCUGCUCACUGCAACUAGAGAAAGCCGCGCAGCAACGAAGACCUGAUGCAGCCAAAAAUUUUUUUAAAAAUUUUUUAAUUAAAAAAAAAGAUAUUUUCUAAAAAAAAAAAAAGAAUGCACAGGCCAGGGAAGUCAGCCAGCCCUAUGUCAGAAAGGGCCACACUCCAGAGAAGGCAACUACUAGUCUUUCUGCUAAAAAUAUCUCAACGGCCCUCAGAAGCCUUGCUUGUUAGCAUGCUGAAUGUCAAAAAUGAGGUUUUACGUCACCCAUGUAUAUCUGCCAAAAAGGUUUAAAAUGAAGCUAGUCACAGGGGAAGAAAUCAGACAAAUCCAGAGUGAGAGACAUUUUGCAAAACAGCUCCACCAGACCUCAAAAAAUCAACAUCGAGAAAAACACAGAAAAGCUAGGAAUAAGUUCAAACAUAAGAGACCACAACCAAAUCCAUUGCAUGACCAUCGAUCCUACACCAAGUUGAAGGAAAGAAGCUAUGAAAGAGAUUUGGAAGAUAAUUGGAGAACUUGAUGGAAAAUAUAGUAAAGAGAGUAUUAUUUAGUCUGUUAAAUGUUUCAUUGUGAUCAUGGCUAUGUUUGAGAACGUCCUUGUUCUUAGGAGUUGUGUGAUGAAUUAUUUUAAGAGUUGUGGUGGCUACAAUGUUCUUUCAAAUAGCUCAGAAACACAUGUAUUUUAUAUACAGAUAAAGCAAACGUAGCAGAAGGUUAACAAUUGGUAAAUCUAAGUGAUGGGUAUAUAUGUUUUAAUUCUGCAAUUUUUUCAACUUUUCUGGAAAACUGAAAUUUUUCAAAAUAACAAGUUAGAAAAGUGGAAUACGAAGUUAUUUUGUGAAUUUCUGGAAUGCUAAAUAAGCCAAAUUGCUUCAACUUCCCAGGCAGCCUCUGUUCUCUUCCAACUUGCUAACUAAGCAUUUCCAGAAACUUAAUUUCUUUACAGUUUUUCAACCACACUGGACUUCUGGAGAUUAGGUCAGAAGGGCCUGCAUGUAUUUUUCAUCCUGCAGGAACUAUAUUGUUGGCAAAUAUAAACAAAUAUAAACAGGCGUGUUAAAAGUUUCAACUUAUACAA